GGUCUGUGGCUCAGCGGUAGUGCACUUGCCUGGCAUGUAUGAAGCACUGGGUUUGAUUCUCAGCACCA
rnacentral:tRNA from 1 species